rnacentral:rRNA from 1 species
UACGUAGGGCGCAAGCGUUGUCCGGAAUUAUUGGGCGUAAAGAGCUCGUAGGCGGUUUGUCGCGUCUGCUGUGAAAACCUAAGGCUCAACCUUGGGCUUGCAGUGGGUACGGGCAGACUAGAGUGCGGGUAGGGGUGACUGGAAUUCCUGGUGUAGCGGUGGAAUGCGCAGAUAUCAGGAGGAACACCGAUGGCGAAGGCAGGUCACUGGGC